rnacentral:rRNA from 1 species
GGUUAUAUAUGGGGCUAAACCGUGUCNGUGGGGCUUUUUAANCGUAUAGUUAGAUCCUGGCUCNGAUUGAACGAUGUCGCCUGGCUUAACACAUGCAAGUCGAGCGGGGGAAGGUAGCUUNCUACCGGACCUAGCGGCGGACGGGUGAGUAAUGNNUAGGAAUCUGCCUAUUAGUGGCAGACAUCAUCUCGAAAGCGAUGCUAAUACCGCAUACGUCCUACGAGAGAAAGCAGGGGAUCUUUGGACCUUGCGCUAAUAGAUGAGCCUAAGUCGGAUUAGCUAGUUGGUGGGGUAAAGGCCUACCAAGGCGACGAUCUGUAGCGGGUCUGAGAGGAUGAUCCGCCACACUGGGAAUGAGACACGGCCCAGACUCGUACGGGAGGCAGCAGUGGGGAAUAUUGGACAAUGGGGGGAACCCUGAUCCAGCCAUGCCGCGUGUGUGAAGAAGGCCUUAUGGUUGUAAAGCACUUUAAGCGAGGAGGAGGCUACUUUAGUUAAUACCUAGAGAUAGUGGACGUUACUCGCAGAAUAAGCACCGGCUAACUCUGUGCCAGCAGCCGCGGUAAUACAGAGGGUGCGAGCGUUAAUCGGAUUUACUGGGCGUAAAGCGUGCGUAGGCGGCUUAUUAAGUCGGAUGUGAAAUCCCCGAGCUUAACUUGGGAAUUGCAUUCGAUACUGGUGAGCUAGAGUAUGGGAGAGGAUGGUAGAAUUCCAGGUGUAGCGGUGAAAUGCGUAGAGAUCUGGAGGAAUACCGAUGGCGAAGGCAGCCAUCUGGCCUAAUACUGACGCUGAGGUACGAAAGCAUGGGGAGCAAACAGGAUUAGAUACCCUGGUAGUCCAUGCCGUAAACGAAAUGNACUAGCCGUUGGGGCCUUUGAGGCUUUAUGUGGACGCGACAUAACGCGACUAACAUAGCNGCCACCCGNGGAGCACCNNC